CUCACUGCACAUCCCGAAAAGGGUGUUUGUUUUGUCAGAUAAAAUGCCCCCUUGUUUACAUGAAUCCCCCCUACACACACUUUCCCUCUCCCAAACCUUCCCAUUGAGACAGCAAAGAAAGGCAAAUGGUUACCUCGUUCAGAAGAAAUGUGGCACUGGAAUCAGAAAGCGACAUAGAAGGGGCAUAGAUAGCCCAGAGCAGCACUCUCAAAUUCUCUUUUUACAGCAAAGGCACACUUUGCAUCCUCUGUUGAUCUUCUUCACCGUGUUCAUCAUCCCCUGUCUUUCUCUCCAUCACACACACAGACUAGUUAUAUCCUCC